GCCGUCUUAGCUCAGUUGGUAGAGCGCGUGGCUUUUAACCACGUAGUUGUGGGUUUGAUUCCCACAGACUGCG
rnacentral:tRNA from 1 species